rnacentral:rRNA from 1 species
AUGGAAAAAUAUUUUUGGAGCAGUUCUCUGGAUAGAAAUUCUAUGCACUGGGUGUCAUGGAACGAGCUGGCCACACCUAAGUGCAAAGGAGGGAUGGGGUUUCGUGACCCGCAUCAGUUUAAUCUUGCCAUGCUGGGCAAACAGGGGUGGCGAUUAAUGACAAACCCUACAUCGCUGUGUGCUAGAGUGCUCAAGGGUCGCUACUUUCCCGAUAGAGAUUUUAUGCACGCAUCUGCUGCAAAGUCAGCCUCGGCCACUUGGAAGGCAAUCUUGGCGGGAAGGGAGGCUCUAGGGGCCGGGCUGAUCGCUCGAGUGGGAGAUGGCAGCACGAUUUCAGUGUGGAAUGACAAAUGGAUUGCUGGAACUAUUUCGAUGAAACCAAUCUUCAAACCGCCAAACACCACCAUUCAAACGGUGGACGAGCUCAUUGAUACGACCACUUGGUCGUGGCGGCAAGAUGUGGUUAGGGAAACCUUCAUCGCCCCGGAUGCCGAAGCCAUUCUGAACAUUCCUAUCAGGCAAGGGGGAGGUGAGGAUUCUUUUGCUUGGGCAUUCGAGAAAGCAGGCAACUACACUGUGAAGACAGCGUACCGUGUUCUAAUGACUCAGAAAGAGCGUUUGGCUCUGGAGGAAGGGACGGUUACCGGAACCUCAGUAGACGAUCAUCAGUUGUGGAAGGCCUUGUGGAAAUUGAAUGUCAUACCGAAAGUGAGGGUUUUCUAA